ACAGACGUGAACAUACAUAUAAGUAGUAACAAAAAAAAAAUUCUGUUCAAACCACUACAAACAUACAUAAUGCUUCUUUCAGAUAAGAACGUACUUAAUAGAAUUCCAGUUCGGUUCCCAGCGUCCCAAGGCUGGUACAGAAUUUUACGCUGGAAAGUUAGUAACUAUAGUUAAUAGGAUUGGGGUUAUGUGCGGCUUCUACCGGAAACUUGACAUCUUACUGUCUACGAACAUCGCAAAGAUAGCAAUAUACUUCGAAUUGUCAAAAAUAAAAAACUUCAGAAGAUGCAUCAUCCCCAAUCAUUGACAGAAACCGAAGAUGAGAAUGAAUUUGCAUGUUCACUGAAGAAUGCUGUUUUCAUUCCUGGAACCAACAGUGCAGAUGGAUACCCACUACACCUACUGAAGGGCAAUAACAUUGAGUGUGUGAACUGUUGUUGAUGGAGUGACAGCAGAAGUAAGAAGAAAUGGAUAGAAGUAUUACACAGUAAUAUUUUCAUUGUUUUGUACAUAAUAAAGACAAAUCAAUUUUUCACAAUGGA